rnacentral:rRNA from 1 species
UACGGAGGGUGCAAGCGUUAUCCGGAUUCACUGGGUUUAAAGGGUGCGUAGGUGGGCAGGUAAGUCAGUGGUGAAAUCUCCGGGCUUAACCCCGGAACUGCCGUUGAUACUAUUUGUCUUGAAUAUUGUGGAGGUAAGCGGAAUAUGUCAUGUAGCGGUGAAAAUGCUUAGAUAUGACAUAGAACACCAAUUGCGAAGGCAGCUUACUACACAACGAUUGACGCUGAGGCACGAAAGCGUGGGGAUCAAACAGG